UUGUCUCAAAGAUUAAGCCAUGCAUGUCUCAGUACGAGCCACAUUAAGGUGAAACCGCGAAAGGCUCAUUAAAUCAGUUAUGGUUCCUUAGAUCGUACCCACAUUUACUUGGAUAACUGUGGUAAUUCUAGAGCUAAUACAUGCAGAUAGAGCUCCGACCGGAGACGGAAGGAGUGCUUUUAUUAGAACAAAACCAAUCGGCGGCGGGCGCGUUCGCGCGUUCGUUCGCCGCUCUACCUGGUGAAUCUGAAUAACUUUCAGCUGAUCGCACGGUCUCGAACCGGCGACGCAUCUUUCAAAUGUCUGCCUUAUCAACUGUCGAUGGUAGGUUCUGCGCCUACCAUGGUCGUAACGGGUAACGGGGAAUCAGGGUUCGAUUCCGGAGAGGGAGCCUGAGAAACGGCUACCACAUCCAAGGAAGGCAGCAGGCGCGCAAAUUACCCACUCCCGGCACGGGGAGGUAGUGACGAAAAAUAACGAUACGGGACUCAUCCGAGGCCCCGUAAUCGGAAUGAGUACACUUUAAAUCCUUUAACGAGGACCCAUUGGAGGGCAAGUCUGGUGCCAGCAGCCGCGGUAAUUCCAGCUCGAAUAGCGUA
rnacentral:rRNA from 2 species